AGCAGUUUGAGACCAGCCUGGACAAUACAGAGAGACCCAGUCUCUACAAAAAAAUUAGCUGGGCAUGGUGGUGCAUACCUGUAGUCCCAGUUACUAGGGAGGCUGAGGUGGGAGGAUCACCUGAGCCCAGGAAGUCAAGGCUGCAGUGAGCCAUGAUCAUGCCACCGCCCUCCAGCCUGGGCAAUGGGAGCGAAACCCAGUCUCAGAAAAAAAGGAAAGAAAAUAAUGCAGGUUUGAAACCUAGUUCUACUACUUGUGUGAACUUGGAAGAGUUAUUUAACCUCUUUAAGCUUGUUUCCUUGUGGUGAUGACAACAGUACUUACCUCACAGGGUUAGUAGGGAGAUAACAUGUCCAACAGGACUGCGCCCGACAUAGAGUAAAUAUUCAGUAAAUGGUAGCUAC
rnacentral:lncRNA from 1 species